GGCCUGCCCACUGAAGAUUUAAAUGGCCGCGGUAUUUUGACCGUGCAAAGGUAGCAUAAUAAUUAGUUUUUUAAUUGAAAGCUGGAAUGAAAGGUUGGAUGAGAAAAUAACUGUCUCUAUUUAGAUUAGUUAGAAUUUUAUUUUUAAGUAAAAAAGCUUAAAUAUUAAUAGAAGACGAGAAGACCCUAUAGAGUUUUAAUUUAGUUGGGGUGAUUGAAAAAUUUAAUAAACUUUUUUUGUAAUUAACCAUUAAUUUAUGAGUAAUUGAUCCUUUUUUUAAGAUUAAAAGAAAAAAUUACCUUAGGGAUAACAGCGUAAUUUUUUUAGAGAGUUCAAAUCGAAAAAAAAGAUUGCGACCUCGAUGUUGGAUUAAAAUUAAGUCUUGGUGUAGAAGCUA
rnacentral:rRNA from 1 species